UGAGGUCUCAUGUCUGCUUAUGCGGUGGCUCGCUGCUCAGAACAGGAUGGCAGAGAUGAGCACCACCAUCAAAAACUCAAGGACCAGUGCUGUGGGUCCAGUCAUCUGUUUCAUGGAAUUCACCAGUCUGGUAUCUUCAAAAUCCAGAAGGAUGAUGGCAGAUGGCAGGAAGGAACCAUUGGAGAUACUCAUUACUCUUUGAAGGCUUACAGUGGAAUGAAUUCAAAUACGACUUAUUUGAGGAAUUGAAGUUGACUUUAUGGAGCUGAUAAGAAUCUUCUUGGAGAAAAAAAGACUGGGUAUAUUUUCAAUAUGCUUUCCUUUUAAGGUCCCUCACCUGUGGAAAGUAAAGAAUGUCACUUUCUGACAGGCUCAGGAACCUCAAGUUAUGUAGGGAUCUCAAGAAGAUGGGGGAAUUCACCCAGUUCAUACAGGUGAAAUUGCUGUUGCAAAGAUUAUGAAUAUGAGAGAAGUCCAGCAUGGCUGACUUCAUCUCGUGUCUGGCCUCAGGCUGGCUGCCCUUGCUCACUCUUGGGCAUAGGCCAAGCUAGCCAUGGGAGGAAUUUAGUUUAUAGUUUAACUUUGAAGCACGGAUGAUAAUAGUCUCUCCCUAAAAUGAACCCCUUCCUUGCUCAGGGACUGAAACUACCUUUGUAUGACAAAUGAAAGCCCACAAGAUUAAGAUUAUGAGAGGGGCCUGAAUUCUGCUAAAAUGCAGGUGUAGCUGACUGAUAACAAGUCAUUGUCCCACAGCUUGCCUUUCUAUAAUCUCUUGCUUCUCAGGAGUCACAUGGCCAGAGGUCCUGAGAUUUCCAGUCCUGUGACCCCCACCCAGAGAUGGACUUAGUGCAUGAGGACCAUUUUCCACACCCCUAUGAUUU
rnacentral:lncRNA from 10 species